rnacentral:rRNA from 2 species
GCAGUCGACGACUCUGGUAUUGAUUGGUGCUUGCAUCAUGAUUUACAUUUGAGUGAGUGGCGAACUGGUGAGUAACACGUGGGAAACCUGCCCAGAAGCGGGGGAUAACACCUGGAAACAGAUGCUAAUACCGCAUAACAACUUGGACCGCAUGGUCCGAGCUUGAAAGAUGGCUUCGGCUAUCACUUUUGGAUGGUCCCGCGGCGUAUUAGCUAGAUGGUGGGGUAACGGCUCACCAUGGCAAUGAUACGUAGCCGACCUGAGAGGGUAAUCGGCCACAUUGGGACUGAGACACGGCCCAAACUCCUACGGGAGGCAGCAGUAGGGAAUCUUCCACAAUGGACGAAAGUCUGAUGGAGCAACGCCGCGUGAGUGAAGAAGGGUUUCGGCUCGUAAAACUCUGUUGUUAAAGAAGAACAUAUCUGAGAGUAACUGUUCAGGUAUUGACGGUAUUUAACCAGAAAGCCACGGCUAACUACGUGCCAGCAGCCGCGGUAAUACGUAGGUGGCAAGCGUUGUCCGGAUUUAUUGGGCGUAAAGCGAGCGCAGGCGGUUUUUUAAGUCUGAUGUGAAAGCCUUCGGCUCAACCGAAGAAGUGCAUCGGAAACUGGGAAACUUGAGUGCAGAAGAGGACAGUGGAACUCCAUGUGUAGCGGUGAAAUGCGUAGAUAUAUGGAAGAACACCAGUGGCGAAGGCGGCUGUCUGGUCUGUAACUGACGCUGAGGCUCGAAAGUAUGGGUAGCAAACAGGAUUAGAUACCCUGGUAGUCCAUACCGUAAACGAUGAAUGCUAAGUGUUGGAGGGUUUCCGCCCUUCAGUGCUGCAGCUAACGCAUUAAGCAUUCCGCCUGGGGAGUACGGCCGCAAGGCUGAAACUCAAAGGAAUUGACGGGGGCCCGCACAAGCGGUGGAGCAUGUGGUUUAAUUCGAA